AGAGCGAACGCUGGCGGCGUGCUUAACACAUGCAAGUCGAGUGCGCGGUUGUAGCAAUACAACUGGCGCACGGCGCACGGGUGAGUAACACGUGGGCAACCUGCCCUCCAAUGGGGGAUACCCCCGCGAAAGCGGGACUAAUACCGCAUGACAUUCCGGAGACUUCGGUCACCGGACUCAAAGGCCGUAAGGUCGUUGGAGGAGGGGCCCGCGCCCGAUUAGCUAGUUGGUGAGGUAACGGCUCACCAAGGCUAUGAUCGGUAGCUGGU
rnacentral:rRNA from 1 species